UGUGAACCAGCGGAGGGAUCAUUACCGAGUUAUACAACUCAUCAACCCUGUGAACAUACCUAUAACGUUGCCUCGGCGGGAACAGACGGCCCCGUAACACGGGCCGCCCCCGCCAGAGGACCCCCUAACUCUGUUUCUAUAAUGUUUCUUCUGAGUAAACAAGCAAAUAAAUUAAAACUUUCAACAACGGAUCUCUUGGCUCUGGCAUCGAUGAAGAACGCAGCGAAAUGCGAUAAGUAAUGUGAAUUGCAGAAUUCAGUGAAUCAUCGAAUCUUUGAACGCACAUUGCGCCCGCCAGUAUUCUGGCGGGCAUGCCUGUUCGAGCGUCAUUACAACCCUCAGGCCCCCGGGCCUGGCGUUGGGGAUCGGCGGAAGCCCCCUGCGGGCACAACGCCGUCCCCCAAAUACAGUGGCGGUCCCGCCGCAGCUUCCAUUGCGUAGUAGCUAACACCUCGCAACUGGAGAGCGGCGCGGCCACGCCGUAAAACACCCAACUUCUGAAUGUUGACCUCGAAUCAGGUAGGAAUACCCGC
rnacentral:rRNA from 1 species